GAUUAUUAGAAUUGCGACAGAAUGUUGUUACGCAUUCAUUAAAAUAACAUUAACAUUGUCCAUCUAUAAAUAGAGUUCUAGCCUAUGUAGCAUUAAACGGAUCAACAGAAGCUUGCACAUUCGUUACAAAUAGAACAAAAAAAGCUAUAGAACAAAAUGAUGAAUCUCAUCUACUUGGUGAUCUGUAUCGCUUUCCUGAUCCUAAUGGCUGAAGUCAGUUGGGCACUUCCAUUAGAUGAGGAAGAGUUUUUGAGAGACAAGAGGAUUGGCAGCAAUGUGCUUGCCUCACUGGCUGGAUGACGCAGAGUGGAAAACAGAACGAAUGAAAAAAUAAAUUCUAGUGCAGGUUAUUACUACUUGCGAUACUAAUUUUAGUAGUGGUAAUGUAUCGAAAUACGAAUUCGUAUUAAAACAUUUUAUGGACGUGA